GCAGAAAUCCCUGUUGGACAGGGCACGGAGUUACAUGGAGCUUUCCCCGUGCAUGGAGGGAGUCUCAAGUGCCAACUCCUGCCUCAGAACUGUGAAGUCUCCACUGCUCCUUCGAGGGCAGCAUAGCCCAGAGCUGCUCCCUGCCCUCUCUCUGCAGCGUGGCUUAGAAGGCUGAGCAAACCAGCACAGUCAGCGGCCAGAGGUAUUCCUGCUGUAAAAGUGGGAAUUUGAACCCUGUGAGACAAGGAGGGAAACCUUCAGCCUUGUGAGGCUGCCCUUGUUCAGCCUGGCUGUAUGGAGGAGGUGGAUCAGGCUGGGGAGACUCCAUGCCCAUCACAGGAUGGGUCAAAACCAGCAACAGUAUAACUCCUCCAGCAUAACACGUGGCAAUGAGUUAAUGCAUUGUGCUUCAACCAAAGCAAUGCAUUUUGUGCCAAGGGUCUGGGCAUCAUUCAAGUUCCUCCCAGCAUGAUGAUUUGCCUUCAGCACAAACAGGGAUAUGAUGCACUGUGCUGUUCAACAUCUUCUAUGUCUUAGUGCCAGUGAUUAACUUUCUAUAAACUCUGACAUGCCUCUACAUUAAUAGGAACAAAUGAAAUCACAGAGCAGUUGAGCCCGUUUAAUUACAGGACCGCAUGGUACAAUUUCAAAAUGAAAUAUGUCUGUUGCUCCUUUUUAUUUUUUAUUUUUUAAACAAAUAGAUAAAUACACUCAUGUCAGUGCAAUGCCUUCAUGGUCUGCCAGUAAACAAAGCAGCACUGGUACGCAGGCUUACAGAAGAUCUACGAAUGUAAUUUUUGAGCUAUUUCCUUGUGUUAAAUUGGAUGCUCUUUGGACUACCAUUUCUCCCAGAUAAAACACAGGAGACUUCCACCCUAUAGAGGUUGUUAAUAUUUUUGAAUCAAUGCAUUGUAAUCACGCUCUGUACCUUUAACACAAUAUCUAGCAGCACCUGCCAUUCUUCACUGCCAAGAGAUAAAGAAUGGUGUUCUGUGCUGUACGAACUGACAGCAAAAAAGGAGAUGAACAGCUGAUGUGAAAAGUCUUCAUUCUGUCAGACUUAAAAAUGCCUCUGCUUUGUAUCCUGUCUGCGUCUGCACUCAAAUGCUGAACAUACUUUUGGGAGCUGUAUAAAUAAAUAAUGUUCUUAUUUG
rnacentral:lncRNA from 1 species